UUCAACUCUUGAAAAUCACGAUUACAACAAGCUGCUUUCAAGAAAAGAACGAGAAACAUCUUUUUUUUUUCUAUUUUGUGUUGCGCCUUGCCUCCAAGCGGCCGGUGGCAGAAGCUGAAACUGGACGUCAUGACACCCUCACGCGCGCGCGCAGCCAAGGCCAGCCAAAGCCGUCGCAGUCUUUCCGGACUGUCGGUCACUUGCAGCGUUUGUUUACCGCUAUCGCCGAUCUUCGCUCGUGGUCCGUCUGAAACGUUAUCCCCGUCGGCGCUCCACGCAGGUAGUGCGUCUUACACGUAUGUUCCCACGGUCGUCGAUUGGUAUCGACGCAUUCGUCGCGGUGGAAGGAAAUGCCCAGACACUGCUCCGCCCAAGGCUGUAUAACAGCAUCGUUGGUCGUGACUCGCCGUCACACACGUUUCCCAGAGACGAGAAGGUGCGUAAACUUUGGAUACGUGCCUGUCAGCCACCACGCCCAGCCUGGAAACCUCUAAAAAAUGACUUCAUUUGCGCGGACCACUUCAUCUACGAUGAUUAUGCGACAAGCCCGGCUUUGCUGAAAAGCCUCGGCAUGCCGCUCAAAAGGCAACGCCUAAAGCCUGACGUUGUGCCCUCGGUCUUCUCACGCAAACGCAAGGCAGGAAGGAUCAGCGGCGCGUUUGAAAAGAGGUGGCGAAAAGAGAUCAUUGAUCAAAUAUUGCAAGAACAACCUACCACAGAAAACGCCUGCCACACAGAAGCUGUUCACAUCCAAAGACCACAGUGCGAUGCUUGCGAAAUGCAUACACCUCCAAUUGAUCAUGUUCCCUUUGAAGAAGUCACCCAAGCAGUUUUACUGUGAACGCAGUGCAGAGGCAUGUACAAAUAGCAGGCAGAACAGUGAGUGUGAGGCACAUCAGGAAAAAAUGCCCUGCAGCAUUUCUCCAGCAAUUUACAGCUGAACCUCAUGCCGCCAAUGAAAGACAAAUUACAGCAAAACCACUUCAGGCUGAUGCAGCUGUUCAGACAUCAUUAAUCUGUAGAGACUGGGCAACACAGGUUACCAUCCACGGGGACCCAUGUAAUAUUUAAACUAGCUCCUUUAUGCCACGACGGUCUUCGACACCAUUGCCAGAAUGGAGGGAUGCAUCUGAAGAGGAAAUGGAUGAAACUGAAGACAGAAAUCCAAAUGAUCCUUCCUAUGUCCCCUCGGAUGUCAGUUUGGAUCAGCUAUGUGAAAGAAUUGCUGAAGUGUGCUGUGGACCUGUGCCAGAAUGUGAGCUCCUACAGGGAGGCAUUGGCGCGUACAAGUGUGAACGUGCCCCCUCCAAUUUCAAGCAACUUUGAACGGGCUGACAAAGAAGCUCUCGUGCCAGCACAUACAAGGCGCUUUAAUAUUUUACUAACACUGCAGUAGUUACUGAACAAGACAUGUCAUUCUGAGAAGAAAACUCUGGGUGUUUAUUCAGGAGAAACUGCCAUCAUGCGUCAAGGUAGCCGGUGUAAUGCCCUCCUGGCGUAGAGAACUGUUUCUUGAUCCUGUGGCCAGCACAGCUUGGCAAAACAACCCGGUUAUCUUGGCCAAGUCGCCUGUACACAUACCAAACAAUCGGUAGGCAGUGUAUCGGUAUUGGCUGCAAAAAAAGAAACACACACACACAACAAUAUAGAUUCAGAAAUUCACUGCGUGUUGUUCUAUUACGUGCCAUGCACUGUUCGUUUGGAUUCAUCUAGCAAAUAAAACGAGCCCUCGA